rfam:Albugo candida, Ac Nc2, WGS project CAIX01000000 data, contig: AcNc2_CONTIG_359_length_25473
GUGUUCGUUGAGCCGAGAGACGGUUAGCAUCUCCCUCGACAAGGACGAGACUACCAUACGGUAUCAAAGUCAAUUAGACAAGCCUUGCCCAUUGGCAUCUGCGUUUUUUA